rnacentral:rRNA from 1 species
GUAGGUGGCAAGCGUUAUCCGGAAUUACUGGGCGUAAAGCGCACGCAGGUGGUUGUCUAAGUUCGACGUGAAAGCGCCUGGCUUAACUGGGCGAGGUCGUUGGAGACUGGAUGACUGGAGGCGAGGAGAGGGGUGUAGAAUUCCCGGUGUAGUGGUGGAAUGCGUAGAGAUCGGGAGGAAUACCAGUGGCGAAAGCGGCACCCUGGCCUUGGCCUGACGCUCAUGUGCGAAAGCGUGGGGAGCAAACGGGAUUAGAUACCCCGGUAGUCCACGCUGUAAACGAUGAAUACUAGGUGUAGGUCAUCUCAAAAUGGUCUGUACCGCAGCUAACGCGAUAAGUAUUCCGCCUGGGGAGUACGGCCGCAAGGCUAAA